CUGUCUUAGUUCGGCUCUAUUGCCGCGAGCUUGACUCUUCCUGGGUCUGAGGAAAAGUAAAAGUAAUUUUGUCAUUUCCUGAAACUUCAAGUUAAACCUUUAAGCUGUUCAUUUCCUAAAAGGGUGAAAACGCGGGCACCCCUCGAGCUAGUUCAUCGCCUUUUAACCUGAAUAGCAUCUUGAAAGGCGGGGCAUAAAAAGCAGUUAAAGAGCUUCGAGAAACGGUUACUCGUUUUGUAAACUAAAGACCAAAUGAAAAUCCAGCUGCACUAGAAAAGAAAGAAACUUAUAAGGGCCGAAGGUUUUGUCUGCAAUUUACAGCUAAUUAGUCUCAAAGAUUUCUGUGAUUUGCCCAAGAGAGGUGGAGUUGGGGCCACUGCUUUACCCAGGACACCGCCGCGGCCCGCUUGAAUACUGCCGCCGUUAGGACCCGCCGUACCUGGCCGUCCAGGGCCUCUUUUCUUGUCUUCCACUCUCACUUGUCUUUUCUCCCCUUUCCAUGUUUUUGGUUCCUUUCCUGAGUUUCCCUUGUCUCCACUCCCCUGCCCCUUUGCUUCCUCUAUCUCUUUAACUUCUGUUUUCUUGAUGGUGGAGCCAACUUUAGUUUCCCUUAAAAGGCCAUAAAAGGAAAUAGAAUAAUUUUAAAAAUGUCUUUUCAUAAGGCUUGUUUUCUUGUCUUAAGCCUGUUUUUUGGUGGGGGGUGAAAAAGUUCAUAUGCAGAUAGACAUAAACUUCUUUUGGUAAAAGCUGCCCUCUAUUUUCUUCCAUAGCUGUCCUGUGAAAGUAGGAGUGUGUGUGAAUGGUGAAGCAAAGAGAGGGAGACAUGGGGUCAGGAGAAGAGGGAGCACAGCGUGUGUAAGGAGUUAAUUAGAACCAGAGGGCCUGGGUCUGUGGCUCAUGCCUGUAAUUCCAGCACUUUGGGAGGCUGAGGCGGAGGACCCUUUGCACCACUGCACUCCAGCCUGAGCAACAGAGUGAGACCCAGUCUCAGAACAAAAAAACAGAAACAGGAGAAAAACCAUCCAUAUAAGCAGAGAGGUACUUAAAAUGUUGCAAAACUAAAUUCCAAAUAACGUCUGUGGAUUCUACAAAAUCUAGGAAAUACACAUUUCCAAUAAAUCUUUGUACAUUCAUCUGUAAUGCAUUUCCUUAGGUGAUUUGAGUCCUUUAGGAGUAAAUCUGUAUCUUUAGCUGUCCCAGAAGUAAUCACAGGCGUUCAUUGUCUAUUCAAUGACAAAGUAUUGUGAACUAUUCUAUGAAAUAAUAAAAUAUCAGUGUUUUCAGAGUACAUGGCCUUUUCAGUAGCCUUUUCAGUGUGGUGGCACGUGUUCCCAGUUCUGCCAGUGGAUAUUGUUAUCUUUGAUCUACAACUGGGAAGCUAAAACCCAGAAAGUUACUUGUCUAAGACUAUACACCUCCAAGAAGGCAGAACUGUGGCUGCUAUUUCCAACUUUCUAGUCUCUGAACAUGUAAUAAAGAACUGAUUUCCAAUUUACAAUGAAUAAUAGAAUUUACAAUGAAUAAUAUAAUUUACUAUAAUAUAA
rnacentral:lncRNA from 1 species